AUGAAGGCCCCCCUCCUCUCAGUGUUGGUGACAAUAUUCACACUCGGAGGAACAGGAGCUCAGACAGUGACCCAGCCUGAGGACCACAUCUCCGUCUUUGAAGGGGACUUCGUGCAGAUCAAGUGCAACUACUCGUAUUCUGGGAGUCCCAUACUCUUCUGGUAUGUCCAGUAUCCCAAACAAGCCCUCCAGUUACUCCUGAAACACAUCUCAGGAGAGAGUACCAAAGGCUUCGUGGCCAACCUUAACCGAGAUGAGACAUCUUUCCAUCUGAAGAAACAAUCAGCUCAAGAGGAAGACUCAGCCACGUAUUACUGUGCUCUGAGUGACACAGAUUCUGAUCUCGCUGGGGAGUGUGUGGCUACAGCUUGCAGAAUGGUGGAGAAGUGUACUGAGGUGCCAGAGAAAAAGGCUGGUGAAUCCCACUGCAUGUCCCUCAGGCUGGCUGGACAAGAACUUCAGGAACAAGAAAUGUGA